GUUUUGGGCGUAAUUCAAAUUUGCUUAGUUGAGCUAUUUCCAACUGAUUUUUUUCCCUAUAUUGUGCUGUUACACCAGAGUGUUGAGUGCUGAUAAUCGCGUUUAAUCAAAACAAAUUCUGUAUUGGCUUUCCCAAGUCAGGAGCUUUCAAUUCAGUGGGUGUCGUUGGUUACUUUCUGUAAUUUUUUGAUUAUUUUUACUCUUGUAAAAAUAUUUAUUUUCGUUUGAACUUUUUCAUUUUCCUAAGUCAAUGCCUUAUAUACUAGUAUCUGAUUAUAUGAGUAUUUGCUUAUCGUUGACAAUACCACGAGCCACUGUAGUCGUUGUUCACGUCAUUUGGACUCUGUUUGAUAGUUUGACGCUCCGCACGGUACCAGGUAUGUACAUGUCAG
rnacentral:lncRNA from 1 species